UACGUAGGGACCGAGCGUUGUCCGGAAUCAUUGGGCGUAAAGAGCGUGUAGGCGGCCACUUAAGUCCUGCGUGAAAUCUUGCGGCUCAACCGCAAGCGGUCGUGGGAAACUGGGUGGCUAGAGUGCGGGAGAGGAGAGUGGAAUUCCUGGUGUAGCGGUGGAAUGCGCAGAUAUCGGGAGGAACACCGGUGGCGAAGGCGGUUCUCUGGGCCUUACCUGACGCUGAGGAGCGAAAGCGUGGGGAGCGAACAGG
rnacentral:rRNA from 1 species